rnacentral:lncRNA from 1 species
UGUCUCCUGUCAGUAGCAUGGGUAGAUUUCUCUCUUCCUGCUCAGUUCAGGACUGCAGUGCCCACAAGAACCUGAGCAGAGUGGCAGGUGGUGUUGGGUGAGUGGAGCGACAGGUACAAGUCACAUAUAUGCAGAAGAAUUUGCCUUGCACUCAACCAUGGGUACUCCAGAGAAGACAGGGAAAGGGCAUAUGGAGAAGGGUGAGAGAGAAGAGGCGACAGAGGCCAUGAGCAAUCACACUCUUCACUUAAAUAUUGAUUCCAGACUACUUUUCAUUCAAUGAGUGUGGCCUUCCAGGAUGGACA